UGUGUAGGUGGAAAUGAAAGUCAUAUGUGAAAUCCCGGAGCUCAACUUCGGAACUGCAUCUGAAACUUCAUAUCUUGAGGAUAGACGGAGAAAACGGAAUUCCACGUGUAGCGGUGAAAUGCGUAGAUAUGUGGAAGAACACCUGUGGCGAAAGCGGUUUUCUAGUUUAUACCUGACACUGAGGCGCGAAAGCUAGGGGAGCGAACAGGAUUAGAUACCCUGGUAGUCC
rnacentral:rRNA from 1 species